AAGAAAUUAGGUUCAAACUUCAAACCAAGGGCCUUCAAAGCCCUAAAUGGGAAAAAUUAACCUCCCAUUUCUUG
rnacentral:tRNA from 1 species